rnacentral:rRNA from 1 species
UACGUAGGGGGCUAGCGUUGUCCGGAAUCAUUGGGCGUAAAGAGCGUGCAGGCGGCCAAGCAGGUCAGCUGUGAAAACUCGAGGCUCAACCUCGAGACGUCGGUUGAAACCGCUUGGCUAGAGUCCGGAAGAGGAGAGUGGAAUUCCCGGUGUAGCGGUGAAAUGCGCAGAUAUCGGGAAGAACACCCGUGGCGAAGGCGGCUCUCUGGGACGGUACUGACGCUGAGACGCGAAAGCGUGGGGAGCGAACAGG